CCUGCCCCUAAAGGCAUUGCAGGUGUGGCUGGUGUGUCACAUGUGCAUCAGAAGGUGGCAGAGAGGAGACAGGCCGUGUCUCUGCUCAGUGUUCUGACCUGUGGACAUCUGAAUGAUUAGUAGUCUAAUAUU